CGCGUAGGCGGGUGGCCAAGUCAGGGGUGAAAUCUUUCAGCUCAACUGGAAAACAGCUUCUGAUACUGGCCGUCUUGAGGGAGGUAGGGGCAUGUGGAACUUCCGGUGGAGCGGUGAAAUGCGUAGAUAUCGGAAGGAACGCCGGUGGCGAAAGCGACGUGCUGGACCUUUUCUGACGCUGAGGCGCGAAAGCCAGGGGAGCAAACGGGAUUAGAUACCCCGGUAGUCCUGGCCCUAAACGAUGGGUACUAGAUUGUAGACUAAACAUGGGUUUACAGUCGAAGCUAAAGUGUUAAGUACCCCGCCUGGGGAGUAUGGUCGCAAGGCUGAA
rnacentral:rRNA from 1 species